rnacentral:rRNA from 1 species
CCCUUAGAUGUUCUGGGCCACACGCGCGCUACACUGAUUGGUUCAACGAGUUAUUGUUUCCUUGCCCGGAAGGGUGUGGGUAAUCUUUUCAAUACCAAUCGUGAUGGGGCUUGAACAUUGUAAUUAUUGUUCAUCAACGAGGAAUCUCUAGUAAGUAGAAGUCAUUAGCUUCUGCUGAAUGCGUCCCUGGACUUUGUACACACCGCCCGUCGCACCUACCGAUGAAUCUUAUCUUUAGGCGUUUGGAGGCUGUUUUACUUCGGUUUAACGGUUGAAAUUCUCCGAAAGUUGAAAUUUAGAGGAAGGUGAAGUCGUAACA